CUCUCCGCGGCUCCCACCCGUGCAAGCCGCGGGUUGUGGUGUGGGCAGUUCGGCGGCGGGGAGCCCCGAAUCAGGUAUCUCCAGACUCAGCAUCCCCUUCUGGAUAUGAGGAUGGUUGUCUGCUGCCGGCACGAUCCGGUGGUUGGGCGUAAUGCCCAGAAUCAAGGCUUCAGGUAUGGGAGCUCUCGCCAUGUGCAUCUGGCUCGCUCGGCUGGCAAGCUCCGCCCCUUAUAAUCAGUUUUUACUGUUUUUUGUUUACUUUUGGCAUCUAAUUUGCUCUUACAGCAGUUUUACUUUUUAUUAUUAUCCCUUUUAGUAUAUCUUUAAUUGCUUGUCAGCAAUUAAGCUGCGUUUAAAUUUGUGUCUCUUUUAGUGAUUAUGCAACCUUAUGGGAGCACUACAUGCUCCAUAAUGCUUUGCGGCUCUACCUCCGAAACCGGAAGUACC